rnacentral:rRNA from 1 species
UCUAUCACCCCCUAUUUAUACGCACCUCUUAUUCUUCCAUCGGCGGCUUACCCUGCCGAUGGAACCUCAUCAUGAACCCUUUUUAUGUAGUAUUACUUGUUCUGAUACCCUAAAUCGUUUACAACUUUCAACAAUGGAUCUCUUGGCUCUGGCAUCGAUGAAGAACGCAGCGAAAUGCGAUAAGUAGUGUGAAUUGCAGAAUUCAGUGAAUCAUCGAAUCUUUGAACGCACAUUGCGCCCCUUGGUAUUCCAUGGGGCAUGCCUGUUCGAGCGUCAUCUAAACCCUCAAGCACUGCUUGGUGAUGGGCGUCUGUCCCGCCUCUGCGCGUGGACUCGCCCCAAAGGCAUUGGCAGCGGUCCCGUCCGCCUCUCGCGCAGCACAGAUGCGCUUCUCGAGGCUUCGGGCCCGCGUCCAUGAAGCUCAUCUACCACGUUUGACCUCGGAUCAGGUAGGGAUACCCGCUGAACUUAAGCAUAUCAUA